ACAGUCUUCCACCAGGAUGUGACUGAAGGCCUGGCCGAGGUCUGCAGGCCACCUGGAGGGCACCUGGAGAGCCAGGAGCGUUGCUGGGCCCUGGGUCUACCCCACGACCCCUCUGCCUCUCCCCAGGCUGUGAGCUCCCCGAGGACGACGCCCCCUCUGCUUACACCACCUGCAGGCGCUCCAGCCCCGGCACUGGAAGGCCUUGGCCACCGACACAGCAGCCUCAUCUUCUGGCUGGAUAAACUCACCUCAGAGCCAAGCGGCCCCGGAGAAGCUGCCUCUGUGGCCCGGUCUGCAGGGUGGAGUUACCGUGGGUCCCUCGCAUCAGACAUCUGCCUGCGGACCAGACACCUGCUCUCCUCCAAGGAGCCUCAAUGUCCAGAGAAGGGAUCCUGCGGUGACCGAGGGACAGGCCUGUCUUCUGGGUCACCACAUCUUGGCAUUUAUUAUUUGCCCCCAGGAAGGUCUGAAGGAUUUUACUUUUAAAAACCAUAGUCAGCCGGGCGCGGUGGCUAACGCCUGUAAUCCCAGCACUUAGGGAGGCCGAGGCGGGUGGAUCACCUGAGGUCAGGAGUUCAAGAACAAUCUGACCAACAUGCAGAAACCCUGUCUCUACUAAUACUACAAAAUUAGCCAGGUGUGGUGGUGGGCGCCCGUAAUCCCAGCUACUUGGGGGGCUGAGGCAGGAGAAUUGCUUGAACC
rnacentral:lncRNA from 1 species